GUACUUGCUUUGGCAGCACAUAUUCUAAAACUGGAACAAUACAGAGAAAAUUAGCAUGGCCUCUGCAUAAGGCUACACAAAUUUUUGAAGCCUUCCAUAUUUUG
ensembl:snRNA U6 U6 spliceosomal RNA